rnacentral:rRNA from 1 species
GCGACACUAUGUGUUGUUGGGUAGGGGAGCGUUCUGUAAGCCUGCGAAGGUGUGCUGUGAGGCAUGCUGGAGGUAUCAGAAGUGCGAAUGCUGACAUAAGUAACGAUAAAGCGGGUGAAAAGCCCGCUCGCCGGAAGACCAAGGGUUCCUGUCCAACGUUAAUCGGGGCAGGGUGAGUCGACCCCUAAGGCGAGGCCGAAAGGCGUAGUCGAUGGGAAACAGGUUAAUAUUCCUGUACUUGGUGUUACUGCGAAGGGGGGACGGAGAAGGCUAUGUUGGCCGGGCGACGGUUGUCCCGGUUUAAGCGUGUAGGCUGGUUUUCCAGGCAAAUCCGGAAAAUCAAGGCUGAGGCGUGAUGACGAGGCACUACGGUGCUGAAGCAACAAAUGCCCUGCUUCCAGGAAAAGCCUCUAAGCAUCAGGUAACAUCAAAUCGUACCCCAAACCGACACAGGUGGUCAGGUAGAGAAUACCAAGGCGCUUGAGAGAACUCGGGUGAAGGAACUAGGCAAAAUGGUGCCGUAACUUCGGGAGAAGGCACGCUGAUAUGUAGGUGAAGUUGCUCGCGGAUGGAGCUGAAAUCAGUCGAAGAUACCAGCUGGCUGCAACUGUUUAUUAAAAACACAGCACUGUGCAAACACGAAAGUGGACGUAUACGGUGUGACGCCUGCCCGGUGCCGGAAGGUUAAUUGAUGGGGUUAGCGCAAGCGAAGCUCUUGAUCGAAGCCCCGGUAAACGGCGGCCGUAACUAUAACGGUCCUAAGGUAGCGAAAUUCCUUGUCGGGUAAGUUCCGACCUGCACGAAUGGCGUAAUGAUGGCCAGGCUGUCUCCACCCGAGACUCAGUGAAAUUGAACUCGCUGUGAAGAUGCAGUGUACCCGCGGCAAGACGGAAAGACCCCGUGAACCUUUACUAUAGCUUGACACUGAACAUUGAGCCUUGAUGUGUAGGAUAGGUGGGAGGCUUUGAAGUGUGGACGCCAGUCUGCAUGGAGCCGACCUUGAAAUACCACCCUUUAAUGUUUGAUGUUCUAACGUUGACCCGUGAUCCGGGUUGCGGACAGUGUCUGGUGGGUAGUUUGACUGGGGCGGUCUCCUCCUAAAGAGUAACGGAGGAGCACGAAGGUUGGCUAAUCCUGGUCGGACAUCAGGAGGUUAGUGCAAUGGCAUAAGCCAGCUUGACUGCGAGCGUGACGGCGCGAGCAGGUGCGAAAGCAGGUCAUAGUGAUCCGGUGGUUCUGAAUGGAAGGGCCAUCGCUCAACGGAUAAAAGGUACUCCGGGGAUAACAGGCUGAUACCGCCCAAGAGUUCAUAUCGACGGCGGUGUUUGGCACCUCGAUGUCGGCUCAUCACAUCCUGGGGCUGAAGUAGGUCCCAAGGGUAUGGCUGUUCGCCAUUUAAAGUGGUACGCGAGCUGGGUUUAGAACGUCGUGAGACAGUUCGGUCCCUAUCUGCCGUGGGCGCUGGAGAACUGAGGGGGGCUGCUCCUAGUACGAGAGGACCGGAGUGGACGCAUCACUGGUGUUCGGGUUGUCAUGCCAAUGGCACUGCCCGGUAGCUAAAUGCGGAAGAGAUAAGUGCUGAAAGCAUCUAAGCACGAAACUUGCCCCGAGAUGAGUUCUCCCUGACUCCUUGAGAGUCCUGAAGGAACGUUGAAGACGACGACGUUGAUAGGCCGGGUGUGUAAGCGCAGCGAUGCGUUGAGCUAACCGGUACUAAUGAACCGUGAGGCUUAACCUUACAACGCCGAAGGUGUUU